rnacentral:tRNA from 1 species
AUCUCCAUAGUUCAAGGGAAAGAACAUAAGAUUUCUAAUCUUAUUAUCUCAGUUCGAGUCUGAGUGGAGAUA